rnacentral:rRNA from 1 species
ACAUGGCAGACUGCUCAGUAACACGUGGACAACCUGCCCUUUGGUCCGGCAUAAUCCUGGGAAACUGGGGGUAAUUCCGGAUAGGCCACAGAUGCUGGAAUGCACUGUGGCCCAAAGCUCCGGCGCCAAAGGAUGGGUCUGCGGCCUAUCAGGGUUGUAGUGGGUGUAACGUACCUACUAGCCUACGACGGGUACGGGUUGUGAGGGCAAGGGCCCGGAGAUGGAUCCUGAGACACGGAUCCAGGCCCUACGGGGUGCAGCAGGCGCGAAAACUUUACAAUGCGGGAAACCGUGAUAAGGGAAUCUCGAGUGCCAGCAUAUAAUGUUGGCUGUCCAGAUGCCUAAAAAGCAUCUGUUAGCAAGGGCCGGGCAAGACCGGUGCCAGCCGCCGCGGUAACACCGGCGGCCCGAGUGGUAACCACUUUUAUUGGGUCUAAAGGGUCUGUAGCCGGCCAUGUAAGUCCCUUGGGAAAUCUGGCAGCUCAACUGUCAGGCUGCUAGGGGAUACUGCAUGGCUUGGGACCGGGAGAGGUGAGAGGUACCUUGGGGGUAGGGGUGAAAUCUUGUGAUCCUCGGGGGACCACCAGUGGCGAAGGCGUCUCACCAGAACGGGUCCGACGGUAAGGGACGAAAGCCAGGGGCACGAACCGGAUUAGAUACCCGGGUAGUCCUAGCCGUAAACGAUGCUCGCUAGGUGUCAGUCACG